rnacentral:rRNA from 1 species
UACAGAGGGUGCAAGCGUUAAUCGGAAUUACUGGGCGUAAAGCGUGCGCAGGCGGUCUGUUAAGACCGAUGUGAAAUCCCCGGGCUCAACCUGGGAAUGGCAUUGGUGACUGCACGGCUAGAGUGUGUCAGAGGGGGGUAGAAUUCCACGUGUAGCAGUGAAAUGCGUAGAGAUGUGGAGGAAUACCGAUGGCGAAGGCAGCCCCCUGGGAUAACACUGACGCUCAUGCACGAAAGCGUGGGGAGCAAACAGG